rnacentral:rRNA from 1 species
AUUGAACGCUGGCGGCAUGCCUUACACAUGCAAGUCGAACGGCAGCACGGGGGCAACCCUGGUGGCGAGUGGCGAACGGGUGAGUAAUGCAUCGGAACGUGCCCAGUAGUGGGGGAUAACCCGGCGAAAGCCGGGCUAAUACCGCAUACGACCUAAGGGUGAAAGCGGGGGACCGUAAGGCCUCGCGCUAUUGGAGCGGCCGAUGUCUGAUUAGCUAGUUGGCGGGGUAAAAGCCCACCAAGGCGACGAUCAGUAGCUGGUCUGAGAGGACGACCAGCCACACUGGGACUGAGACACGGCCCAGACUCCUACGGGAGGCAGCAGUGGGGAAUUUUGGACAAUGGGCGCAAGCCUGGUCCAGCCAUGCCGCGGGCGGGAAGAAGGCCUGCGGGUUGUAAACCGCUUUUGGCAGGAACGAAACGGCGCAAGCCAAUACCUUGCGCUAAUGACGGUACCUGCAGAAUAAGCACCGGCUAACUACGUGCCAGCCGCCGCCGCGGUAA